UUAUUUGAAGAUACAUUGUUUGCUAAAGAGAAAAAGGAAUCAAUGAGGUUCAAUAGAGUAACCAGAAUCAGCUGGAUUCUGCAUGGAGCUUUUGAAGUUCACUGAAAGGAAGAGGCAUCGCCUUUUGAAUACGUAUCACCUUCCACAGAGUUUGUAGACAUGCACAUGAACAGAGCAUGACAAGCAAGGGAAGGAAAAAAAACUUAGCAAAAAUGGAUCAGAUAUUACAACUAGUCAUAAAAUGAGGCAUUUUCACUGUUCAUCACCUUGGAUAGACCACUGGAAACUGCAACAUGAAAUAAAGAGCUCUCCAUUUUAUAUCACAGGAUCAUAGAAUCCCUACAGUGCAGAUAGAGGCCAUUUGACCAAUCAAGUCUGCAUUUACACUCCAUAGACCAUCUUACACAGGCCCAAAAUCAGACUAAAACAGAUGACACCCAAGCUAAGGGGAUGGAAUUAAUCUGCACUGGCUGAGUGAAUUGUGCUUGAGUGAAAUAACAGUCUGUUUCAUAGCACGACAAUGUGAUUCCUGGGCCAGCAACACCUUUUUAGUGAAUUUAACACCUUAUACAUCAACACACCUUACUUUUUUGAACCGGUGAUGGAAAAUUUGAAAAGUUGAUGAGUUCACAUUUGCAGUGUUAAUAUUUGAAAAUUCUUACAUAGAUAUCAUUGGCAACAGCUACAGAAUCAUAUAAUGCCUGCAGUAUAGAAGCAGGCCAUUUGGCCCAUCAGGUUCAUACCGAUACUCCGAAGAGCAUCCAAUCCAGACCCACCCUAC